rnacentral:rRNA from 1 species
UACAGAGGGUGCAAGCGUUGUUCGGAAUUACUGGGCGUAAAGCGUGCGCAGGCGGCUUCUCAAGUCAGGGGUGAAAGCCCAGAGCUCAACUCUGGAAUUGCCUUUGAGACUGAGUGGCUUGAGUACGAGAGAGGUGAGUGGAAUUCCCAGUGUAGAGGUGAAAUUCGUAGAUAUUGGGAAGAACACCGGUGGCGAAGGCGGCUCACUGGCUCGUAACUGACGCUCAUGCACGACAGCGUGGGGAUCAAACAGG